AUAUCUCUCCGUACGGGAAGGAUGAGAAGCUUCGACCAAGGUUCGAUUCGAGCGCAGCGAGAAAGCGUUGCCGCAGGCAACGACCCGAAGGGCGAAGCGCGCAGC
rnacentral:sRNA from 1 species